ACCAGCUCGGAGGCAGGGCAGGCCACCCCAGUAAAGAGGGUCCCGGCCGAGACCUACGUGGGUCCCUGUGCAGGUGUUUGCCUCCCGCUGGAGACCGCUGGUGCCAAGUCUCCAGGCCUCAGCCUCCUCUUCUGCGCACAGACACGCAGCUGGUCCGUCCUGGGAAUGAAACGGGAGGCACCUGUGCUUCCAAUGAGGUAUCUGGGGGUGCUCACGUGUGUGCCGUCACUUAACACACUUAUUAAGCACCUACUGUGUGCCAGGCAGGCUUGGAGCCGUCCAGGAGAGCAGCUGGGGCCUGGAGAGGGUGGCUUGUGGGGGCGAGGGAGCUGCCCAGCCCAGGGAACGGUGGCGAGCGCCCCGGGGAGGGGCGAUCCAUUUCCCAUCCCCACUGGUGCCCCCACCCCUCCCUGGGCUUUCUAGGACCACAAGGAGGCAGAGACACGGUUCCUUGGUGGGAGCCGGGUGGAGCCCGGGUGGGAGCCACCGACCGUUGGGAUGCCCCUCCCUGUCCACGGCCUCACCCCAGCCUGGGGGGUACCUUGAACAUAACAGGAAAUUCGAAACAACAGGAAACCAAGGCCGGGCAGGCAGCGGGCGGUGGCGGGCGGCUCCACCCUGCCCCGGGCCCCAGCCACCCCGGGGGCCUCAGUCUGCCCCAGGGGACCGCCAUGAACAGCACGGGGUCCCCGCCAGGGGCCCCCGAGUCCUGCCAGCAGCUGGCGGCCAGCGGGCACAGCCGGCUCAUCGUCCUGCACUACAACCACUCGGGCCGACUGGCCGGGCGGGGGGGCCCGGAGGAGGCGAGCCUGGGGGUCCUGCGGGGGGUCUUCGUAGCCGUGAGCUGCCUGGUGGUGCUGGAGAACCUCGUGGUGCUGGUGGCCAUCGCGACGCACAUGCGCUCGCGGCGCUGGGUCUACUACUGCCUGGUCAACAUCACGCUCAGUGACCUGCUCGCCGGCGUCGCCUACCUGGCCAACGUGCUGCUGUCGGGCGCGCGCACCUUCCACCUGCGCCCGGCGCACUGGUUCCUGCGCGAGGGGCUGCUCUUCACGGCGCUGGCCGCGUCCACCUUCAGCCUCCUGUUCACGGCGGCCGAGCGCUUCGCCACCAUGGUGCGGCCGGUGGCCGAGCGCGGGGCCAGCAAGCGCGGCCGCGUGUACGGCCUCAUCGGGCUGUGCUGGCUGCUGGCCGGCCUGCUGGGGCUGCUGCCGCUGCUGGGCUGGAACUGCGUGUGCGCCUUCGCGCGCUGCUCCAGCCUCCUGCCGCUCUACUCCAAGGCCUACAUCCUCUUCUGCGUGGGCGUCUUCGCCUGCAUCCUGGCGGCCGUCACCGCGCUCUACGGGGCCAUCUUCCGCGUGGUGCGCGCCAACGGCCAGAAGGCGCCGCGCUCGCCGGCCCGCCGCAAGGCCCGCCGGCUGCUCAAGACGGUGCUCAUGAUCCUGGUGGCCUUCGUGCUGUGCUGGGGCCCGCUCUUCGGCCUGCUGCUGGCCGACGUGUUCAGCUCCACCGACUGGGCGCAGCAGUACCUGCGCGGCAUGGACUGGAUCCUGGCGCUGGCCGUGCUCAACUCGGCCGUGAACCCGGUCAUCUACUCCUUCCGCAGCAGGGAGGUGUGCCAGGCCGUGCUGGCCUUCCUCUGCUGCGGCUGCCUCCGGCUGGGCCUGCGCGGGCCCCAGGACUGCCUGGCCCAGGUGGGCGAGGCCCACUCCGCAGCCUCCACCACGGACAGCUCGCUCAGGCCCCGCGACAGCUUUCGGGGCUCGCGGUCGCUCAGCUUCCGGAUGCGAGAGCCCCUGACCAGCAUCUCCAGCGUGCGGAGCGUCUGAGGUGGAGCGUGGGGGGCUCCCCGGGGGAGGCAGGACAAAGGGCCCCCAGCUGGCGGUGGGUCCCGAGGCUCCACGGUCCCCCUCACAGCGCCUGGGCCCACGGAGGUCUCCCUGGAGGUCUCCCUGGAGGAGGCGGCUGCUCGAGGGAACGGGGAGGGGUCUGGAGUGGGCGUGAGUGGGUUUGCGAUGAAGGCCCCCUCCCCCUACCCCAGCUCCCUUGUGAUUCUGGGGAGUCUCAGUCCCUGCCCAGCCUUGGGGGCGGUGGGGCUGGACAGCCUGGCAACACGGAAGUUCAAAAACGAUCGGGGAUGGACCCCGUAGCCCGAGGCUGUGGGCACACACUCAGCGCUCGCCGGGGCACAUGGCGUCCUACAUGUCUGACCCACUUCUGACGAUGGUAGAGGCUGUCCCCCUCGGGAGCCCCGGAGGCCGCGGUGUGCUUGACAAGUGGCCGGUGCGACUGUCGAGGUGAACUUUGAGUUUUGGUCACGCUUAAAUGGCCCAUGGCACUCGUGGUGACCAUACCGGACGGCACAGGGAUGUGCCCUGCGCGCACAGCCGCCUCUCCUGCUGGAAAGCUCGCUCCCGCUCCUUCCAGGCAAGCCAGUGCCUGUAAGUCUUGCCCGGGCUCAGGGGGCAGCACCUGGCCCGCCACUUUAGGCACAGAGCCACUCUUCUCUGAGCCUGGGCUUCUCUGCGUGAUGAGAGACGCGGCGGCCCGGAGCUGCUCGCCAUGCUGGCCGGUCCCGCAGCCACCAGCCACGUGUGGCUGCUCACGACGCUGGAAAAUGAAAUGAAAUACAAAACACUCACCUUCUUGGUGCAUUGGUCAGCUGGAGGUGCCACAUCUCAGAGCCACAGAACAGGUGGCUGGGACAGAAAAGGGUCCUCUCACGGUCCUGGAGGCUGGACGUCUGAAACCGAGGUGCCCGCGGGGCUGGUGCACCUGAAGCUCCGAGGUAGAGCCUGUGCCCCCCAUUCUCCUGGAUUCUGCGGGCGUCCUCGGAGGCUUGUAGCCCCGGGAAGUGACAUCCCAAUUGCCGCCUUCAUGCCUUCAUGUGGCACCCUCCCUGGUUAUCUGUGCCCGAAUGCCACCAUUCUAGAGGGAUGCCAGGCCUACCCUAAGGAACCCCUUUUUAGCUUGAUCACCUCGUAAAGACCCUGCCUCCAAACCCCGUCCCACGUGGAGGAUUUCAACAUGCGAACUCUGAGGGGACACGGUCCGGCCCAUAAUGUUUAGUGACCUGGGGCUUGCGACCACUGUCUCGGCUAGUGUAGACGCGGGACAUGUCCCUCAUCCGAGAAGUUUGGAUAAAGCU